CCUACGGGAGGCAGCAGUGGGGAAUAUUGCACAAUGGGGGAAACCCUGAUGCAGCAACGCCGCGUGAAGGAUGACGGUUUUCGGAUUGUAAACUUCUUUUCUUAGUGACGAAGACAGUGACGGUAGCUAAGGAAUAAGCAUCGGCUAACUACGUGCCAGCAGCCGCGGUAAUACGUAGGAUGCAAGCGUUAUCCGGAUUUACUGGGUGUAAAGGGAGCGCAGGCGGGACUGCAAGUUGGAUGUGAAAUACCGUGGCUUAACCACGGAACUGCAUCCAAAACUGUAGUUCUUGAGUGAAGUAGAGGCAAGCGGAAUUCCGAGUGUAGCGGUGAAAUGCGUAGAUAUUCGGAGGAACACCAGUGGCGAAGGCGGCUUGCUGGGCUUUAACUGACGCUGAGGCUCGAAAGUGUGGGGAGCAAACAGGAUUAGAUACCCUGGUAGUCCACACUGUAAACGAUGAUAGCUAGGUGUGGGGGGUCUGACCCCUUCCGUGCCGGAGUUAACGCAAUAAGCUAUCCACCUGGGGAGUACGACCGCAAGGUUGAAACUCAAAGGAAUUGACGGGGGCCCGCACAAGCAGUGGAGUAUGUGGUUUAAUUCGACGCAACGCGAAGAACCUUACCAGGGCUUGACAUACAGAUGAAUAUACUAGAGAUAGUAUAGCUCUUCGGAGCAUCUGUACAGGUGGUGCAUGGUUGUCGUCAGCUCGUGUCGUGAGAUGUUAGGUUAAGUCCUGCAACGAGCGCAACCCCUGUGAUUAGUUGCCAACAGGUAAAGCUGGGAACUCUAAUCAGACUGCCGGUGAUAAAUCGGAGGAAGGUGGGGAUGACGUCAAAUCAUCAUGCCCUUUAUGUCCUGGGCUACACACGUACUACAAUGGCUGUAACAGAGAGAAGCAAAACAGUGAUGUUGAGCAAAACUUUAAAAAGCAGUCUCAGUUCGGAUUGAAGGCUGAAAUUCGCCUUCAUGAAGCCGGAAUUGCUAGUAAUGGCAGGUCAGCAUACUGCCGUGAAUACGUUCCCGGGCCUUGUACACACCGCCCGUCACACCAUGAGAGUUGGGGAUACCCGAAGCCUGUGAGCCAACUAUUUACUUAGAGGCAGCAGUCGAAGGUAGAAUCAAUGAUUGGGGUGAAGUCGUAACAAGGUAGCCGUAUCAGAAGGUGCGGCUG
rnacentral:rRNA from 1 species